rnacentral:lncRNA from 1 species
UAAGACUUGCUCAUACUCCUUUUACAAAUAUGAAAUGUAUUUCUGGUUUGUCUUUCCCAUUUUCUUCCAAACAACCUUUUCCAUGUUCAGUCUGUCCUAUGGCCAGACAGACUAGGCUUCCAUUUCCUGAUAGUUCCAUUAAGACUUCUAGACCCUUUCAACUGAUUCAUGCGGACACUUGGGGACCUUACCAUACUCCAACCUCUUCUGGUUGUAGAUAUUUCCUUACAAUUGUUGAUGAUUUUUCUAGGGCAACAUGGACACACUUAAUGGGACCCAAAAGCAAUGCUUUUUCUAUGCUUAAGUAAUUUCUUUCUCUGGUUAAAACCCAUUUAAUGCUAUGGUUCAGACUGUUAGAAGUGACAAUGCCUUAGAAUUGGGAUCUAGCAAUGAGGGUAUUUCCUAAAGCAAUGCCUUUUCUAUGCUUAAGUCAUUUCUUUCUCUGGUCAAACCCAAUUUAAUGUUGUGGUUCAGACUGUUAGAAGUGACAAUGCCUUAGAAUUGGGCUCUGGCAAUGAGGGUAUUUCCUUUUUUAGCAGCCAGGGGAUCAUACAUCAAACCUCCUGCUCUCAUACCCCUCAACAAAAUGGUGUCGUUGAGAGGAAGCAUAGAACUCGCCUUGAAACCUGUAGGGCUUUGCUUUUUCAAUCUGGCAUACCUGUAUCUUUCUGGGGGGAUUGUUUGUUGACUGCUACCUACCUACUUAACAGAAUACCCACCAGAUUACUUCAUAAUAAGUCUCCUCAUGAAAUCUUAUAUGGGAAAGUUCCAACCUAUACUCACUUGAGACUUUUGGUUGCCUUGCCUAUGCCACUAUCCCAAUCCCUCAAAGGGACAAGUUAAAGCCAAGUGCCAUUCCUUGUGUUUUCCUGGGAUAUCCUUUUGGAAAAAAAGGUUAUAGAUUAUAUGAUCUUACUUCAAAGAAGUAUUUGGUCUCCAGGGAUGUCCUAUUUCAUGAAUCAUGUUUUCCUUUUAAAUCUGUGUCUUCUUCUACUCAUCCUUCUGCUUCAUCUUUUACCUUUGUUCCUUCUGGAGAACAUGAUGAUGAUUCUGAUUCUCCCAUACUCCUCUCUCCUCCCCAUUCUCCCACAUCUGUGCAAGUGCCUUAUCCUGUCCCUGUCUCUACUGAUUCUGCCUUCCCUUCUUCUUUCAAUCCUGACAUCUCACCUCCUAUUUUGGCUUCUUCUCCUUCUGUUCCUGCUCCCAGAAAGUCUCAAAGACAGCAUAAUCCUCCUUCCUAUCUUAAGGAUUAUGUCUGUCAACUACAUGCAUUCUCUGGUUCAUCUUCCUCCUCUUUGGAAUCUGAGCCUCUAUAUUACGCCUUCUGUUUUGACUUCUUCUCCUUCUGUUCAUGCUCCCAGAAAGUCUCAAAGACAACAUAAUCCUCCUUUCUAUCUUAAAGAUUAUGUCUGUCAACUCCCUACCUUCUCUGGUUCAUCUUCCUCCUCUUUGGAUUUUGAGCCUCUAUAUUACUCUCAGGCUGCAUCUGUUCCAGCAUGGCAAGCUGCCAUGAGACAGNNNNNNNNNNNNNNNNNNNNNNNNNNNNNNNNNNNNNNNNNNNNNNNNNNNNNNNNNNNNNNNNNNNNNNNNNNNCAUGAGACAGGAGUUUGAUGCUUUGGACACUAACCAUACUUGGGAUGUUGUCCCUCUUCCUCCUGGUAAGAAACCCAUUGGUUGCAAAUGGGUUUAUAAAGUAAAGUACAAGGCUGAUGGCUGUGUUGAAAGGUAUAAAUCCAGACUUGUUAUUAGAGGUGAUACUCAGGUUGAAGGUAUUGACUUCACUGACACCUUUUCUCCUGUGAUUAAAAUGUGCACAGUUAAGUGUCUUAUUGCUGUGGCUAUGAAAAAACAUUGGAAUUUAUUUCAACUUGAUGUUAAUAAUGCUUUCUUGCAUGGUGAUUUGGAUGAGGAGGUGUAUAUGAAACUUCCUCCAGGUUUAACUGUUUCUGCUCCUGCCUCUGUUUCUGUCCCCUCUGCCUCUCCUGCUCCCCUUGUUUGUAAGUUAAACAAAUCUCUAUUUGGACUCAGACAUGCUUCCAGACAAUGGUACGCCAAGUUGUCUUCUGCCCUAUACUCCAGAGGCUAUAGGCAUUCUUUGAAUGAUUAUUCCAUAUUCAUCAAAGGUACACCAGGGUCCCUUGUGAUUGUUGCUGUUUAUGUGGAUGAUAUUAUUANN